UACGUAGGGUGCGAGCGUUAAUCGGAAUUACUGGGCGUAAAGCGCACGUAGGCGGCGCAGCAAGUCAGGGGUGAAAUCCCGGGGCUCAACCUCGGAACUGCCCUUGAAACUGCAGUGCUAGAAUCUUGGAGAGGCGAGUGGAAUUCCGAGUGUAGAGGUGAAAUUCGUAGAUAUUACGGAAGAACACCAGUGGCGAAGGCGACUCGCUGGACAAGUAUUGACGCUGAGGUGCGAAAGCGUGGGGAGCAAACAGG
rnacentral:rRNA from 1 species